ensembl:ncRNA F35A5.14 ncRNA
GAACUUUCAAUCUCCGAACACUUGCAUUGAAAAGUUCAAGUGAUGCGUUAUUUGCAAAUAGUCCGUAAAUAGAGACCGCGUCAUAGAAGAAUACAAGCUGAGAAACUGGUUAACGCUUUCAGCUGUU